rnacentral:rRNA from 1 species
GGGUUGUGAGGUUAAGCGACUAAGCGUACACGGUGGAUGCCCUGGCAGUCAGAGGCGAUGAAGGGCGUGCUAAUCUGCGAUAAGCGCCGGUAAGGUGAUAUGAACCGUUAUAACCGGCGAUACCCGAAUGGGGAAACCCAGUGUGACUCGUCACACUAUCAUUAACUGAAUCCAUAGGUUAAUGAGGCGAACCGGGGGAACUGAAACAUCUAAGUACCCCGAGGAAAAGAAAUCAACCGAGAUUCCCCCAGUAGCGGCGAGCGAACGGGGAGGAGCCCAGAGCCUGAAUCAGCAUGUGUGUUAGUGGAAGCGUCUGGAAAGGCGCGCGAUACAGGGUGACAGCCCCGUACACAAAAGCGCAUGUGCUGUGAGCUCGAUGAGUAGGGCGGGACACGUGGUAUCCUGUCUGAAUAUGGGGGGACCAUCCUCCAAGGCUAAAUACUCCUGACUGACCGAUAGUGAACCAGUACCGUGAGGGAAAGGCGAAAAGAACCCCGGCGAGGGGAGUGAAAAAGAACCUGAAACCGUGUACGUACAAGCAGUGGGAGCACAGGUUUACCUGUGUGACUGCGUACCUUUUGUAUAAUGGGUCAG